rnacentral:rRNA from 1 species
AUACGUAUGUCCCGAGCGUUAUCCGGAUUUAUUGGGCGUAAAGCGAGCGCAGACGGUUUAUUAAGUCUGAUGUGAAAGCCUUCGGCUCAACCGAAGAAGUGCAUCGGAAACUGGGAAACUUGAGUGCAGAAGAGGACAGUGGAACUCCAUGUGUAGCGGUGAAAUGCGUAGAUAUAUGGAAGAACACCAGUGGCGAAGGCGGCUGUCUGGUCUGUAACUGACGCUGAGGCUCGAAAGUAUGGGUAGCAAACAGGAUUAGAUACCCUGGUAGUCCAUACCGUAAACGAUGAAUGCUAAGUGUUGGAGGGUUUCCGCCCUUCAGUGCCGCAGCUAACGCAUUAAGCAUUCCGCCUGGGGAGUACGACCGCAAGGUUGAA